GUCUUCCUUAAAGUACCUUCCCGGUCAGAUUUCCUUUCAGAAAAAAUGCUAUCAUUGUAAAUUGGAGCAAAAUUGUUGGUGGAAAAGUUUUUCACAGGAAAAAAGUUUUCGAAAAGCCGACGUGGUCGCAUAUUAACAAACUUCACACAGGGCAAACGAAAUAAAAUACUACCAGACAUGGUUUUGUGCAAUAAAUCAGUGUUGUUUUCAAUUAAUUUCCUCCAUUCGCUUCGUCUGUAGCCAAAGAUUAGGUUAGCCAAAAGCGCUAAAGUAAUACUCAAAUUAAAUGUAAUAGCAUUUAGUAUUCAAAUAUUACAAAUUUAAAAUAAU